UGGGGAAUAUUGCACAAUGGGCGAAAGCCUGAUGCAGCAACGCCGCGUGAGCGAUGAAGGCCUUGGGUCGUAAAGCUCUGUCCUCAAGGAAGAUAAUGACGGUACUUGAGGAGGAAGCCCCGGCUAACUACGUGCCA
rnacentral:rRNA from 1 species